GAGAUAUGAGAUUUGAAAUAGUUUAGUUUGUGUAAAUUUGGGAAGUUUUGGAUUUGAGGCUUGAUUGAUGAAUUGAUGGAUGAUAUAUGCUAUUGAGAGUGUUUAUAUGAGAUUUGAUGGAUUGGAUUGAUGGUUGAAAUUGAUUAGUGAUUUUUGAUAUGAGUUAGUUUGAUGUAAUUUGUGUAAAAUUGAUUCUAUGGUUUAAUUUACUAAUUGAUUGUUUAUUUAUGCUAUUAAGUGUGCCAAUUUGAUAGAUCUAAG
rnacentral:lncRNA from 1 species